rnacentral:rRNA from 1 species
AGCGAACGCUGGCGGCAGGCCUAACACAUGCAAGUCGAACGAACCUUUCGGGGUUAGUGGCGGACGGGUGAGUAACACGUGGGAACGUGCCUUUAGGUUCGGAAUAACUCAGGGAAACUUGUGCUAAUACCGAAUGUGCCCUUCGGGGGAAAGAUUUAUCGCCUUUAGAGCGGCCCGCGUCUGAUUAGCUAGUUGGUUGAGGUAAUGGCUCACCAAGGCGACGAUCAGUAGCUGGUCUGAGAGGAUGAUCAGCCACAUUGGGACUGAGACACGGCCCAAACUCCUACGGGAGGCAGCAGUGGGGAAUCUUGCGCAAUGGGCGAAAGCCUGACGCAGCCAUGCCGCGUGAAUGAUGAAGGUCUUAGGAUUGUAAAAUUCUUUCACCGGGGACGACAAUGACGGUACCCGGAGAAGAAGCCCCGGCUAACUUCGUG